UACGUAGGGUGCAAGCGUUAAUCGGAAUUACUGGGCGUAAAGCGUGCGCAGGCGGUGAUGUAAGACAGUUGUGAAAUCCCCGGGCUCAACCUGGGAACUGCAUCUGUGACUGCAUCGCUGGAGUACGGUAGAGGGGGAUGGAAUUCCGCGUGUAGCAGUGAAAUGCGUAGAUAUGCGGAGGAGCACGAUGGCGAAGGCAAUCCCCUGGACCUGUACUGACGCUCAUGCACGAAAGCGUGGGGAGCAAACAGG
rnacentral:rRNA from 1 species